rnacentral:rRNA from 1 species
GAGUAACGCGUAUCCAACCUGCCCAUCACUUGGGGAUAACCUUGCGAAAGUAAGACUAAUACCCAAUGACGUCUCUAGAAGACAUCUGAAAGGGAUUAAAGAUUUAUCGGUGAUGGAUGGGGAUGCGUCUGAUUAGCUUGUUGGCGGGGUAACGGCCCACCAAGGCGACGAUCAGUAGGGGUUCUGAGAGGAAGGUCCCCCACAUUGGAACUGAGACACGGUCCAAACUCCUACGGGAGGCAGCAGUGAGGAAUAUUGGUCAAUGGGCGAGAGCCUGAACCAGCCAAGUAGCGUGCAGGAAGACGGCCCUAUGGGUUGUAAACUGCUUUUAUAAGGGAAUAAAGUGAGUCUCGUGAGACUUUUUGCAUGUACCUUAUGAAUAAGGACCGGCUAAUUCCGUGCCAGCAGCCGCGGUAAUACGGAAGGUCCGGGCGUUAUCCGGAUUUAUUGGGUUUAAAGGGAGCGUAGGCCGGAGAUUAAGCGUGUUGUGAAAUGUAGACGCUCAACGUCUGCACUGCAGCGCGAACUGGUUUCCUUGAGUACGCACAAAGUGGGCGGAAUUCGUGGUGUAGCGGUGAAAUGCUUAGAUAUCACGAAGAACUCCGAUUGCGAAGGCAGCUCACUGGAGCGCAACUGACGCUGAAGCUCGAAAGUGCGGGUAUCGAACAGGAUUAGAUACCCUGGUAGUCCGCACGGUAAACGAUGGAUGCCCGCUGUUGGUCUGAACAGGUCAGCGGCCAAG